rnacentral:lncRNA from 1 species
AAAAAGUUUCGGUUUAGUAGGAUAAAGUAUAAAAAUUUUCUUCUAUGUUGGAGGUAUUUUGUUUUUACUUAAAAAGCUGUUAGUGUUUGAUUGCUUUAUUUCUACACACUGUCCGAAUGACAGGGCAAAGCAGGGCCAUCAUUCCUCAAAUAAGAGACCACAAUAACAAAGCAAAAGCAGGUGCAUGUGAAAAGCAAAGCAAACUAAUCAACGCGACACUGAUAACAUUAAUUGAUGAGCAAUCGACCAUCCAUGGACCAUACAUAACCCUUUUGCACAUACUCAUAUGUUCUUCAAAGAAAGUGAUCAUCCAACCAUAUGUACCGGUCCAAACUUUCCUUUAACUCACAAAGGGUCCCAAUUACUAACAACAACAAAGAUCUUUUUUAUUCUCAAACUAUGGAACCCUAACAAAUAGUAACAUUACAAGUUACCAAGAUUAUGUAGAUGAUACAUAAAUAUAUAUCAAAUAUUGACCUACCAAAAGAAGCUAACUUGAGAUGCAGCUUGGGCCUGAUCAACGUCCUCGUGGGACGGGGAAUGCACGUGCCGCCCUUCGUACGUCGUGAUCACCAUUCGCGGGUCAUCCGCCGACCUCUCCACCCUCUUCUUCACCCGGCAGUUGUCCUGCGAGCACCGGUAAUAGCUCCUACGUGCAUAACGCACAAUAAACAAGUUUGUUCUCUCUCUCAAUCAUCAAAAGCUUUUCAAUUAUAGAUAAAGAUGACAAUAGUAAUCACAUGACACACAUAAUUAAUCUCGGGCCCGGUCGUCGCGCUUUUUAUCAUCAUGUAACAGCGAGAUUCGCGGCGUUUUAACUUAACAAAGGCCAUGAUCAAGUUCAUUAGUAGAAAUAUAUAUUUAUAUAUAUAUAUAUAUACACACUCAUGUUCAAAUAAUAACAGUGCAUAUAUGGGCCACAGAGGUGGUAGAAAGAAUGAUUGCAAUGCACAUAUAAUUCAGCUUCUUUUUCAUCUAUGGAUAGUGGGUGAGGCAGAGGAGGGGCUCAGUGGAAUCAUGAUGGAGUAGCAGUAGAGAGCUCAUCAGAUAGGACUCCUUGUCGGAUCAAUGUCCCUUGCAUAUAUGAUGCUUAGUACAUAGAUCUCGUGGAUAUAUAGUUAUUACCUUCAUGCACAUUAAUAUCUAACUCUAUUACUAUACAUGUUCAUGGACAAAUUAAGAGUAUGCAUGAACUUAAGCAUGUUAAUUGAUUAUCCGUAUUAUUUGUAAACAACAGUACAUGACAAUAUAUAUCCAAUUUGUUCUUCUACACAUUUCUAAACUAAGUUAUCAACCCAUAAAAACUGAACCUGCCAAUGUUAUUCAUUGGGAACAAACUAGCUUGUUUUGUUGAACUGCAAAACACUGAGCAGUUUCUUGAGAAAUACACUCAGGACCUAUUUGGCUCAGGGACAUUUUAUUUUGUUGACUUCAUAAUUAAUAAACUAAUGUCAAUAACUUGCAAUAUAUGUAUCUUGAGCAAGUUGUAUCACUGGGUAGUUAGUCCAGUAUUCAAACACGCCUAAAAGGGGGUAACAAAAUUAAAGAGUGCACAAAAAGGAUAGAUUUACUAGCUCACAUUAAUUAAGCUAUAGGUGAUUAAUGCAAAAUAGAGAAAUCUACUAGAAAGAAAAAUAAUUUCUCUUCUUUCAUUGAAGAUUUGCCCACCUACUAUGGAGGAACAAGAUGUGAACUUAUUUCCACUAUAUGGAGAAAAUUUACAAGAUCGAAGGCAAAAAUAAUUAAGAUAAAAAAGCAAAGGUUUGGAGAAGAAAAUCUACAUAGAAUUAUUCGUGAACUUCUCUCUCACUGAUCUUUCAAGUACUAGCCAUUUGGCUUACUCUUUGAUCUCGCCUCUUUAUUUUUGUUUUGUUUUUCGUUUUUAGCCUUACAUGCUGCAGUUACACAAUAACAAAUGUACUAAUAUCAACGGCAUUUUGCUUAAUUUCUUUCCGUAUUUAUCACUUUAUCUUGUAGGCAUUAGAAAAAGGUUUCAUAAAAUGCAUCCCCUUCGAAUAUUGCGACACUUUUUAAGUGUUGCUUUGAAAUUCACUUGAACGAUAUCCAACGGUAGCUUCACCUCUCAAUAUUUUUUUGCAUAGCCAUCUUACUGUUAUGAGAUUCAAAUGUAGAACCCUUUUCUGAGAGAGAAAGCACUACAUUGCUUCGUUUACUUUUAAAAUGAACUCAGAUAGAAUUGCGAAGCAACUAGACUUCUCCUAAAAGGUGACAGAACUCUUAAUCUGUGACUAUUAGGCAAGACUACCAUUUUCUCUCUUGCUAUAGCAUGUCUUCUCAGUCUUCUGUGUUCUUCAUUUUCCAGAAGGUGGAGGUGUUUCAUGGGAAUUAAGUUAAGUUUACCUACAUGCUUGCCCUUAAAAUUUAAAGUCUACAAAUGAAAAAAGAAAAUGCAAAAACUGUUCAUGAUAUCUCACAGACAGAAGAGAUUUUUUUUUUCCCCCCUUCUUAAAGCAUAUAAUUAGAGACUUCAUUAUUGCCUUCAUUGUUGCAAGAAAAAUAUGUAGUCCACCUCGGCAGUGGUUAAAUAUAGUUUUGCUUUGAAGAUCUCAUAAAUCCUUAGAUCUUUCUAUGUUCCUCAGUACUAUCCUUAAGCUUUAUUGGAAAAUGAGCUUACCUGUGGUAUAAUUUAAUUUAUAAGUAGACCUAGUGGAUACAAAGAGUGUAGUACUGACCAGUCAUAGCAUAACCCUAGAAACUAGAAAUUGUAAUGAUACAUACUAGUACCAAGCAUCCAACUUCUAUCACAACAAAGGAGAUCACUAUAGUUCCCAUCAUAAUAGGGACAAUAAGCAAACAAAAGGGAAAGGAAAGAAAAAAAGAAAUGAAAGAGAAUCUACAUAGAGAUCUUCUACUCUUUUCACCUUUCAACACAACAAAAGCAAGCUCAUAACCUAACCCUAGCUAGCCCAUAUAUAUGUCAUGCAGUAGAAAACUUCAUGCAAAUAUUAAUGCAUGAUGCUUGGUGAACAGUAUAUCAAGGGGGAGGAGGAAAAGGUCUCUAUGUAUGGAGUGCACUUUGAGUUUCUCACUUAUAGCAUAUAUAAGCUGGUGAAUUAUAUAUCUACAUGAAUAUAUACAUGACAUACCUUGGGUGUUGGGUGUUCUUCACAACUUUUUGGCCAUAUUUUCUCCACUUGUAACCAUCAUCUAACACAUCCACCUCGCUCAUGGUCUUGAAACAAAAUCUUGGGUCUCUCACCUUCCUCCUCUUCUUCACCUUCUUCAUCCUCACACCGCCGACCGAUAGAGCGUUGAUAGUAUUACUAGUGCUCUUGUAAUUAACACUGCUAUUAUUGGUGUUGUUGUUAUUGUUAUCUUUGUUGUUGUUGUUGUUGUUGUUGUUGUUAGCAUUCAUCUUGAUUUGGUGCUCCGCUCCAAUUAUUGUUCUCUUGCUGCUCAAAAGUGGGCCCUCUAGCUUCCUCCCAUGGCCUAAAUAGCACCAACCAAACACAAACCAUGAGAGAGAGGGAGAUCAACAAAAUGUUUCAUAUCAAAUAUCAAAACACUAUUCUUUAGCAUCUUAAGUUAAAAUAUAUAUAUAUAUAUAUAAAAGUUUAACCGUUUUAGUUUUGGUCCGGUUAUCCAUCCACAAAACUCAAUGUCCAUAUCUUGCAUGGAUCUCUCGAAAAAUCUCAUUUUUUCUGAAUAGAGUAGGAAAAAAAAAAGAAAGAAAAAGAAAAUCUCAAUUAAUGUGAGAGAGUAUUAAAUAUAGCAUAUUAAAAAGUCAUUUUGUAAGACUAAAUUUAAAUUUUUACAGGAAGAGGAAGCUACAGAAAAUUGUACAAGUUGAGAAAAAGAGCAAUUAAGUGGAAAUAAUAAAAGAAAAAACAUUUAAUUAUUUGUCCUAUGACUCAGUAGAAAUUACACAUGCAUGCACGAGACACUUUCAUGUAUAUAUGAACUUAAUUACCAUAGGUUAGUGCUUGCUCUCCGGGCUGAAGAAGCUGCAGCAGCAGCAGCUUGAUGAUCUGAUGAUGAGCAACCAUCUCUAGGUUUAGGGUUCAUGAACCUUUCUCCCGCAGAGAAAGCUGUGUUGGUGAGAGAGUGUUGAUGAGGCCCAUAUGGAGAAAACCUGAGAUGAAGAAGAGAUGAAUAUGGUAGUAAGUGGUGAUCAUCAUGAGGGCUUAUUUGAGAAGCAGCCACUAGGGUUUCUUGGCUCUCCACCAACCCAUGGUUUAGAACUACACUGGGAGGGGGUGGUGGAAACAUCUUUCCCUCUCUCCCUUUCUUUCUCUCUCUCUCUCUCUCUCUCUCUCUCUCUCUCUCUCUCUCUCUCUCUCUCCACUCUCCACUCUCUCACUCUCUCUUUCUUUCUUUGUUGGAUAUGAUAUAGGACAAAGAAUAUUGGUGUAAGGUCACUUGUUGAAAAGUUUUUGAUGACUCUGAUGUAGCUGUAGACUUGGAACUUUAAAGGUACCUAUGUUAGGAGCACCCCCNCUUUUUCUUUUUUUAUUUUAACCUUUUGCCUAUAAAAGGCUAGACCUGGUCCACCAAGUAAUUGACUCGUGAACCGAUUAACUCAAAAUUCAACAUAUUUGGUUUCUCCCCUUUAAUCACCUAAAUAAUUAAUCUCCAAACUUGCAUAAACAGUGAAAAAAUUAUAUUAAAUAAGUUUUAAAAUAAGAAAAUGCCAUAGACCUAAUUCAGUGUGGACCCUACUAAUCUAACCACAAUUCUUUUUCGGGUCGGGCCGGGUUACUCCUUCGCUUCGUCGGGCCGGGGCUUCAAAUUAAAGGCCCAUAAAUUUCGGACCAGGCCUCUGAUUCUUAAGACCUGAUCUAGUUCGAGGUUUUCUAAUUUGAUCCGAUCCGAGCUGAUUCACUAUGAUCAUUUAGAUGUAAUCUGAGAUUUUUUUUUAAAAAAAAAAGGUGUAAAAAACUUAUGGACGAGAUAUAUAGCCAACAUUUACCUGGAAUCAUGAUGACAAAAGGUUCCCAUACUAUUUAGCUAAGAAUGGAAUAGAAAACUUUACUAUUAUGUCCUAAGAAUGGCCAAGAGAGGAUCCAAUGUAGAUAUAUAUGUGAAUGUUGGCCCAGGUAAUAGGAUCAAUGCAUGGUUGCUAUCAUGAUUGCCAAUUAUGGACGGUUGAGACCACCCGGUCUGCUAUAUAUAUAUAUCUGAUCUUAGGAUCUAUAAAAAAAAAGGUACAAAGUUUGCAUCUUAGGCCUCGUUUUUUAUCAUUAUUAUUUUUUAAAGUUUUAAACAUUAAUUCUAUAUAAUUUGAUGUGUCAGAGAAUUUUUUUUAUUAUAAGUAUAGAAUUUCGAAAGCAAAAAAUUAUUUUUAAUUUUUAUUUUUUGUUGUCAAGUAAAGACCUUGAGUCCUUGAAUGAAAUGAUUGUAAGCAAUUAACCGUCCACUUCUACACAUUUUGAUAUUUAGUUUUUUUUUAAAAAAUAAGUGCGGAACCAAACAAAGCCUUAUUUAUUUUAGAAAAGGGAAGCAUGCUACAAGUUUUUUUUCAUUAUUUUUAUAAAUAAAUUUAGCUAAAAAUAUAAAGUAACUAGAUUCCUAAUUUAGGACCUCAUAUACCAAUAAACAAAUCUUUUGCCCUGUUUGCGCUAGGAUGGUUAUAAUAUCCGUGAUAAAUAUAUAGGUGCUUUAUCAUAACAGAAAAUACUACUUGUACACUCCUAUUUUGGGUGUACAUCUUUACACAAUUGGUCAUCGAAGAAUUCACAAAACUCAGGUGAUUUUUUUUUUUUUUUUUUUUUUGACAUAACUUGUGAAGUGAUCUCAUCCACCUAAAGGCUAUGGAGUAUAUCUUACAUCCUAGUGUAGAAGGAAUGAGCAGCAUUGCUCACCAAAAUAUAAUCUAUAGUUUAUGGUAACUAGGAUUAAAAUAUCUCAGCUUUUUGCAGUUUUACUUUUCGAGUCCAUUGAUACGCCCCACUUUACCAACACCACAAUCACUACCUUAGAUUCGGACCCCUCCCCCCUCUCUCUUACUUUUAACAGCCACUUUACAGCAACAAAGAUAACCCUACAAUCUAAAAGAAAUUAAUUAAAGGUAAAAGAAAAUGCUGGGUACAUCUUGGACUAAUUGCUUUUCUUUCAAAACUUAAUUUACUAGAAGAUGAUAAACUUAAAUAAAAAAUAACAAUAUAAAAUACUUGACGUCUUUAAAAGCUUAAAUUUGAGAUUUGUAAAGUCCUAAUUAAGUUAUUGCAAAUGUUAAUUGCAACCAAUGUUUGUGCAAUCAUAAGAGAGCAUUAUAUAUAGUACAGGCUCCUACUUAUGCUAGGGAACUAGUAAACUAGUUAGGUAAAUUAUAAUAUCUAUAAAAAACAUCCCACAUGAGAGCAUUAUGAUAGAAAAAGAUGCAUGCUGGAGAGUAUCGUACGAAUUUUGCAUGGACGAAACAAUUCAUACAUGACCGAAUGAUUUAAAAAGGAGAAUAAUAUAACUUUUAGUUAUUUUUCAUAAGUUCGUACUUUUGAGCGUAACGUUGGUCCGCUUUUUGUCUACUUAGUUUGAGUUCUAAGAUAAUUUCUCUAUUUCAGGAUAUAAUAGUUAUAUGUUUAGUUAACGAAGAUUAAUUUCGAGUUGUUUGCCUCUACAAGCAUUUGACGUGAACUUACAGAGUCUCAAAAGUAGCCUUCUAUAUAUUUCUCUUACAGUCAGAAAAAAAAAGUUUCGGCAUUCUAUUAAAAUGAUAAUUGAAAAGAUUUUAUAACAUUUUAAUAAAUUAUUAAUAGUCCCUUUCAAGCAACUCUUUUUACCAAAAAUUUAGGAUAUAUAAAACACAAAGUGAUCCACUGCUAUCCAUGAGAGAGAGAGAGAGAGAGAGAGAUCAAUUUCAACCACAAGUGAUCGGUGGUUAAAUCAUGGUCACAAAUUGAGAUUAAUCUCGCCUAAUAGAUGGAUGAUAGAACUAUAGAGAGCUGUGGAAAAUUCUGAGACCAAAAAGCUCAGAUUGUGUGUGUGUGUGUAUAUAUAUAUAGAGAGAGAGAGAGAGAGCUAGGCUCCUAUGCUUUCAAAAAUACGGAGGCUUCCGUACUUAUAAGUUGUUUUUAAUGAUGGGACAUCCGAUUUAGUAACCGAUUUCGUUAGAUAUAAUUUAUACUAUAAGAAUUAUGUAGAAACCAAAUUUUUUAAUUUUUUGAUUUCAUUUGCCCAGUGAACGAGUAUCCUCAAAAUGAACGGCUAAAAAUAAAAAUCUUAUAAAAAAUAGUAAUAAAAGACUCAAAUUUUAAAUCACAAGUAUUAAUCUUCCUAUUGAUAUUAAGUAGAAUUUUCUAUUAAAGUUUCAUAUAAUUUGGAUAAAAAAAUUAUGAAAUUUGGUUUCUAGAUAAUUCCAACAUGGUAGAUUAUACCCAACGGAGCCGAUCGUCGAAUCAGAUGUCCUAUCAUCGAAAACAACUUACAUAUACAGAGGCCUCUGUACUUUCGAAAGUGCAUGAGACAUACCUCUCUCUCUCUCUCUCUCUGUAUAUAUAUAUAUAUAUACAGAGAGAGAGAGAGUCCAUCUAUAGUGCUUGU